rnacentral:lncRNA from 1 species
GGUAGACUGAUUAAUAAAGAUACUUGUAUCAAACUAGAUAUCACUGGAAUCAGAAUGUUCUCUAGUUUAUAAUGGAAUAAAAAAAGUGUACUUUUAAUGGUAUAAAAAUGUUUUAUCCAGAGAAACUUGGAAAAACAUUGCCUAAUUUAAGCUUAAAAAAACUGAAAUCAGGUCAUGUGCACACCCCUGAAGACAUGAUACCUGCACAUUUUUCAUAAUCAAAAUUGUAUGAAUUUCAUAGAUUUUACCUGGUCUUUCAAAAAAUUCAUGCUUCAGGGUACGUUCGCCUGCUCCGAAAAGAGCUACA